UCCUACGGGAGGCAGCAGUAGGGAAUCUUCCACAAUGGGCGAAAGCCUGAUGGAGCAACGCCGCGUGGGUGAAGAAGGUCUUCGGAUCGUAAAACCCUGUUGUUAGAGAAGAAAGUGCGUGAGAGUAACUGUUCACGUUUCGACGGUAUCUAACCAGAAGGCCACGGCUAACUACGUGCCAGCAGCCGCGGUAAUACGUAGGUGGCAAGCGUUAUCCGGGUUUAUUGGGCGUAUAGGGAGCGCAGGCGGUCUUUUAAGUCUGAUGAGAAAGUCUUCGGCUUAACCGGUGUAGUGUAUUGGA
rnacentral:rRNA from 1 species